GACGAACGCUGGCGGCGUGCCUAAUACAUGCAAGUAGAACGCUGAAGGAGGAGCUUGCUUCUCUGGAUGAGUUGCGAACGGGUGAGUAACGCGUAGGUAACCUGCCUGGUAGCGGGGGAUAACUAUUGGAAACGAUAGCUAAUACCGCAUAAUAUUGACUAUUGCAUGAUAGUCAGUUGAAAGGUGCAACUGCACCACUACCAGAUGGACCUGCGUUGUAUUAGCUAGUUGGUGGGGUAACGGCUCACCAAGGCGACGAUACAUAGCCGACCUGAGAGGGUGAUCGGCCACACUGGGAGUGAGACACGGCCCAGACUCCUACGGGAGGCAGCAGUAGGGAAUCUUGGGCAAUGGACGGAAGUCUGACCGAGCAACGCCGCGUGAGUGAAGAAGGUUUUCGGGUCGUAAAGCUCGGUUGUAAGAGAAGAACGAGUGUGAGAGUGGAAAGCUCACACUGUGACGGUAUCUUACCAGAAAGGGACGGCUAACUACGUG
rnacentral:rRNA from 1 species